UACGUAGGGGGCGAGCGUUGUCCGGAAUUACUGGGCGUAAAGGGUGCGUAGGCGGCCUGAUAAGUCAGGUGUGAAAUACCAGGGCUCAACUCUGGGGGUGCACUUGAAACUGUCGGGCUUGAGUGCAGGAGAGGAAAGCGGAAUUCCUAGUGUAGCGGUGAAAUGCGUAGAUAUUAGGAGGAACACCAGUGGCGAAGGCGGCUUUCUGGACUGUAACUGACGCUGAGGCACGAAAGCGUGGGUAGCGAAC
rnacentral:rRNA from 1 species